rnacentral:tRNA from 1 species
GCCUGACAAUGGUAUGGUCUGAUAUUAAGGUUUGGCUGAUUCGUAAUCAGUAGGUCCGGAGUUCAAAUCUCCGCGUCGGCACCA